rnacentral:lncRNA from 1 species
GGUUAUCCUAAUACUCCAAUGGUCUUUCAUUCUCAAGUAGAGAGGAUUGAACAAUGUCGUGAGGAGUAGCAUGAGGUCUUAGUCUUGAGGGCAUCCAGUAUGCCUCAAGGCCCGGAAGAGACUAACCUCGUGAGUGUGGUAAGGUGAAACCCAUUGGCAAUGACUUUGCAAAGUAGUAGAGGCCACCACGAGUGCAUGACCC